rnacentral:misc_RNA from 1 species
AAGUCGUAACAAGGUUUCCGUAGGUGAACCUGCGGAAGGAUCAUUCACAAUAAGAGUGUUUAUGGCACUCUUCAAAAAAUCCAUACCCACCUUGUGUGCAACGUAAAAAGAAAAAAAGAAAGAUGCGAGUCAUGAGGGGAACCUCGAGUCUUGCUCCCUCUCUCUUUUUCUUUUCCACAUACACCUUUCUAUUAGUUCCUAUUGUCUGAAGCUGUUAGAGAAUGACUAAUUCUUAAACAUAACUUUCAACAACGGAUCUCUUGGCUCUC